AUUGAACGCUGGCGGCAUGCUUUACACAUGCAAGUCGAACGGUAACAGCACUUCGGUGGCUGACGAGUGGCGAACGGGUGAGUAAUACAUCGGAACGUGCCUAGUAGUGGGGGAUAACUACUCGAAAGAGUAGCUAAUACCGCAUGAGAUCUAAGGAUGAAAGCAGGGGACCUUCGGGCCUUGCGCUACUAGAGCGGCUGAUGGCAGAUUAGGUAGUUGGUGGGAUAAAAGCUUACCAAGCCGACGAUCUGUAGCUGGUCUGAGAGGACGACCAGCCACACUGGGACUGAGACGCGGCCCAGACUCCUACGGGAGGCAGCAGUGGGGAAUUUUGGACAAUGGGCGCAAGCCUGAUCCAGCAAUGCCGCGUGCAGGAUGAAGGCCUUCGGGUUGUAAACUGCUUUUGUACGGAACGAAAAGCCCUCUUCUAAUACAGGAGGGUCAUGACGGUACCGUAAGAAUAAGCACCGGCUAACUACGUG
rnacentral:rRNA from 1 species